rnacentral:rRNA from 1 species
CCCUCGCCGGACCUGACUGCUAUCGGAUUGAUACUAAGCCAUGUGAGUCUUUGUAGCAAUACAAGGCAGACGGCUCUGUAACGCGUAGCCAACCUACCCUAUGGACAGGGAUAACCUCGGGAAACUGAGGAUAAUACCUGAUAGAUCAUAAUGCCUGGAACGGUUUAUGGUCCAAAUGAUUCGUCGCCGUAGGAUGGGACUGCGGCCUAUCAGCUUGUUGGUGAGGUAAUGGCCCACCAAGGCUAUUACAGGUACGGGCUCUGAGAGGAGAAGCCCGGAGAUGGGUACUGAGACACGGACCCAGGCCCUAUGGGGCGCAGCAGGCGAGAAAACUUUGCAAUGUGCGAAAGCACGACAAGGUUAAUCCGAGUGAUUCCUGCUAAAGGAAUCUUUUGUUAGUCGUAAAAACACUGAUGAAUAAGGGGUGGGCAAGUUCUGGUGUCAGCCG